GACGAACGCUGGCGGCGUGCCUAAUACAUGCAAGUCGAGCGGGGUGAUGGUGCUUGCACUAUCACUUAGCGGCGGACAGGUGAGUAAUGCUUAGGAAUCUGCCUAUUAGUGGGGGACAACAUCUCGAAAGGGAUGCUAAUACCGCAUACGUCCUACGGGAGAAAGCAGGGGAUCACUUGUGACCUUGCGCUAAUAGAUGAGCCUAAGUCGGAUUAGCUAGUUGGUGGGGUAAAGGCCUACCAAGGCGACGAUCUGUAGCGGGUCUGAGAGGAUGAUCCGCAACACUGGGACUGGGAAACGGCCCAGACUCCUACGGGAGGCAGCAGUGGGGAAUAUUGGACAAUGGGGGGAACCCUGAUCCAGCCAUGCCGCGUGUGUGAAGAAGGCCUUAUGGUUGUAAAGCACUUUAAGCGAGGAGGAGGCUCUUUUGGUUAAUACCCAAGAUGAGUGGACAUUACUCGCAGAAUAAGCACCGGCUAACUCUGUGCCAGCCGCCGCCGUAA
rnacentral:rRNA from 1 species